rnacentral:tRNA from 1 species
UGGGCGGCUAGCUCAGCUGGUUAGAGCGCUACGUUGACAUCGUAGAGGUCACUGGUUCGAGUCCAGUGUCGCCCACCCA